UGAACGCUGGCGGCGUGCCUACUACAUGCAAGUCGAGCGAACAGACGAGGAGCUUGCUCCUCUGACGUUAGCGGCGGACGGGUGAGUAACACGUGGAUAACCUACCUAUAAGACUGGGAUAACUUCGGGAAACCGGAGCUAAUACCGGAUAAUAUAUUGAACCGCAUGGUUCAAUAGUGAAAGACGGUUUUGCUGUCACUUAUAGAUGGAUCCGCGCCGCAUUAGCUAGUUGGUAAGGUAACGGCUUACCAAGGCAACGAUGCGUAGCCGACCUGAGAGGGUGAUCGGCCACACUGGAACUGAGACACGGUCCAGACUCCUACGGGAGGCAGCAGUAGGGAAUCUUCCGCAAUGGGCGAAAGCCUGACGGAGCAACGCCGCGUGAGUGGUGAAGGUCUUCGGAUCGUAAAACUCUGUUAUUAGGGAAGAACAAAUGUGUAAGUAACUAUGCACGUCUUGACGGUACCUAAUCAGAAAGCCACGGCUAACUACGUG
rnacentral:rRNA from 1 species